rnacentral:tRNA from 3 species
UGGUAAGUAGUUUAAACAAAACAAAUGAUUUCGACUCAUUAAAUUAUGGCAACCAUACUAACCAA